UAUUGGUGAUGGAAAAGAAGUUAUUGUGGAGCAAUGUUCAAGGAGUGAUCUACAGUCCCAAUGCAUCAAGUAUCUUGGACCAAAAGAGAGGGAAGCAUAUGAAGUAAUUGUGAAGAAUGGAAAGCUUAUUUACAAGAAAAAUGGUGUUUGUGUGGACACAAUUGAGGGUACCAAAUGGAUAUUUGUGCUCAGUACCUCAAGGACCUUAUAUGUUGGUCAGAAGCAAAGACAUCAUUUUCACCAUUCCAGUUUUCUAGCUGGAGGUGCUUCUCUUUCAUCUGGAAGAUUGGUCGUCUCUAAUGGGGACCUCGAGGCAAUAUGGGCAUACAGUGGUCAUUAUAGACCAACAGAAGAACAGUUUGAGGAGAUAAUAAGCUUUCUUCAGGACCACCAUGUUGACCUCACCAGUGUUAAGAAAUUCGCGAUAGAUGAUGACAUAGCACCCAACAAGUCAAAAAUAUGAAAAGAUGAUUGCACCAAAUAAAAGAGAAAA